UCGUUCCCCAAGCAACAAGUUCGACGAUGCAAUCUCCGAGUCUUGGAACGUCAAUCUCGAUGAUUGCAACACGGCCAUGUCGUUCAACGACGAAGACCUGAAACGUCUUGGAAUCGAAAAAUCGAAGAAGAUGAAGAAGAAGGAGCAGGAAGAGAUGUAGUAGUAGUAGUAGUAGUAGAUAAUUUGUUGAUUGAAAAAGAAUGAAUGAACUGCUUGGGGGUUU
rnacentral:misc_RNA from 1 species